rnacentral:rRNA from 1 species
GACGAACGCUGGCGGCGUGCUUAACACAUACAAGUCGAACGGAAAGGCCCCUUCGGGGGUACUCGAGUGGCGAACAGGUGAGUAACACGUGAGUAACCUGCCCUUGACUUCGGGAUAACUUCAGGAAACUGGGGCUAAUACCGGAUAGGAAUCCUUGCUGCAUGGUGGGGGUUGGAAAGCUUCGGCGGUUUUGGAUGGACUCGCGGCUUAUCAGCUUGUUGGUGGGGUAGUGGCUUACCAAGGCUUUGACGGGUAGCCGGCCUGAGAGGGCGACCGGCCACAUUGGGACUGAGAUACGGCCCAGACUCCUACGGGAGGCAGCAGUGGGGAAUAUUGCACAAUGGGCGGAAGCCUGAUGCAGCAACGCCGCGUGCGGGAUGACGGCCUUCGGGUUGUAAACCGCGUUCAGCAGGGGCGAAGCUUGUGGUGACGGUACCUGCAGAAGAAGCACCGGCUAACUACGUG